rnacentral:rRNA from 1 species
CACUAUCGUUAACUGAAUACAUAGGUUAACGAGGCGAACCGGGGGAACUGAAACAUCUAAGUACCCCGAGGAAAAGAAAUCAACCGAGAUUCCCCCAGUAGCGGCGAGCGAACGGGGAGCAGCCCAGAGUCUGAAUCAGCUUGUGUGUUAGUGGAACGGUCUGGAAAGUCCGACGGUACAGGGUGAUAGUCCCGUACACCAAAAUGCACAGGCUGUGAACUCGAAGAGUAGGGCGGGACACGUGGUAUCCUGUCUGAAUAUGGGGGGACCAUCCUCCAAGGCUAAAUACUCCUGACUGACCGAUAGUGAACCAGUACCGUGAGGGAAAGGCGAAAAGAACCCCGGCGAGGGGAGUGAAAAAGAACCUGAAACCGUGUACGUACAAGCAGUGGGAGCACCUUCGGGUGUGACUGCGUACCUUUUGUAUAAUGGGUCAGCGACUUAUAUUCUGUAGCAAGGUUAACCGUAUAGGGGAGCCGCAGGGAAACCGAGUCUUAACUGGGCGUUAAGUUGCAGGGUAUAGACCCGAAACCCGGUGAUCUAGCCAUGGGCAGGUUGAAGGUUGGGUAACACUAACUGGAGGACCGAACCGACUAAUGUUGAAAAAUUAGCGGAUGACUUGUGGCUGGGGGUGAAAGGCCAAUCAAACCGGGAGAUAGCUGGUUCUCCCCGAAAGCUAUUUAGGUAGCGCCUCGUGAACUCAUCUUCGGGGGUAGAGCACUGUUUCGGCUAGGGGGUCAUCCCGACUUACCAACCCGAUGCAAACUACGAAUACCGAAGAAUGUUAUCACGGGAGACACACGGCGGGUGCUAACGUCCGUCGUGAAGAGGGAAACAACCCAGACCGCCAGCUAAGGUCCCAAAGUCAUGGUUAAGUGGGAAACGAUGUGGGAAGGCACAGACAGCCAGGAUGUUGGCUUAGAAGCAGCCAUCAUUUAAAGAAAGCGUAAUAGCUCACUGGUCGAGUCGGCCUGCGCGGAAGAUGUAACGGGGCUAAACCAUGCACCGAAGCUGCGGCAGCGACACUAUGUGUUGUUGGGUAGGGGAGCGUUCUGUAAGCCUGCGAAGGUGACCUGUGAGGGUUGCUGGAGGUAUCAGAAGUGCGAAUGCUGACAUAAGUAACGAUAAAGCGGGUGAAAAGCCCGCUCGCCGGAAGACCAAGGGUUCCUGUCCAACGUUAAUCGGGGCAGGGUGAGUCGACCCCUAAGGCGAGGCCGAAAGGCGUAGUCGAUGGGAAACAGGUUAAUAUUCCUGUACUUGGUGUUACUGCGAAGGGGGGACGGAGAAGGCUAUGUUAGCCGGGCGACGGUUGUCCCGGUUUAAGCAUGUAGGCUGGUUGUCCAGGCAAAUCCGGAUAAUCAAGGCUGAGGUGUGAUGACGAGGCACUACGGUGCUGAAGUAACAAAUGCCCUGCUUCCAGGAAAAGCCUCUAAGCAUCAGGUAACAUUAAAUCGUACCCCAAACCGACACAGGUGGUCAGGUAGAGAAUACCAAGGCGCUUGAGAGAACUCGGGUGAAGGAACUAGGCAAAAUGGUGCCGUAACUUCGGGAGAAGGCACGCUGGUGUGUAGGUGAAGUCCCUGCGGAUGGAGCUGAGACCAGUCGAAGAUACCAGCUGGCUGCAACUGUUUAUUAAAAACACAGCACUGUGCAAACACGAAAGUGGACGUAUACGGUGUGACGCCUGCCCGGUGCCGGAAGGUUAAUUGAUGGGGUUAUCCGUAAGGAGAAGCUCUUGAUCGAAGCCCCGGUAAACGGCGGCCGUAACUAUAACGGUCCUAAGGUAGCGAAAUUCCUUGUCGGGUAAGUUCCGACCUGCACGAAUGGCGUAAUGAUGGCCAGGCUGUCUCCACCCGAGACUCAGUGAAAUUGAACUCGCUGUGAAGAUGCAGUGUACCCGCGGCAAGACGGAAAGACCCCGUGAACCUUUACUAUAGCUUGACACUGAACAUUGAGCCUUGAUGUGUAGGAUAGGUGGGAGGCUUUGAAGCGUGGACGCCAGUCUGCGUGGAGCCAACCUUGAAAUACCACCCUUUAAUGUUUGAUGUUCUAACGUUGGCCCCUUACCGGGGUUGCGGACAGUGUCUGGUGGGUAGUUUGACUGGGGCGGUCUCCUCCCAAAGCGUAACGGAGGAGCACGAAGGUUAGCUAAUCCUGGUCGGACAUCAGGAGGUUAGUGCAAUGGCAUAAGCUAGCUUGACUGCGAGCGUGACGGCGCGAGCAGGUGCGAAAGCAGGUCAUAGUGAUCCGGUGGUUCUGAAUGGAAGGGCCAUCGCUCAACGGAUAAAAGGUACUCCGGGGAUAACAGGCUGAUACCGCCCAAGAGUUCAUAUCGACGGCGGUGUUUGGCACCUCGAUGUCGGCUCAUCACAUCCUGGGGCUGAAGUAGGUCCCAAGGGUAUGGCUGUUCGCCAUUUAAAGUGGUACGCGAGCUGGGUUUAGAACGUCGUGAGACAGUUCGGUCCCUAUCUGCCGUGGGCGCUGGAGAAUUGAGGGGGGCUGCUCCUAGUACGAGAGGACCGGAGUGGACGCAUCACUGGUGUUCGGGUUGUCAUGCCAAUGGCACUGCCCGGUAGCUAAAUGCGGAAGAGAUAAGUGCUGAAAGCAUCUAAGCACGAAACUUGCCCCGAGAUGAGUUCUCCCUGAGACUUUAAGUCUCCUGAAGGAACGUUGAAGACGACGACGUUGAUAGGCCGGGUGUGUAAGCGCAGCGAUGCGUUGAGCUAACCGGUACUAAUGAACCGUGAGGCUUAACCUUACAACGCCGAAG